GGAAGGAUCAUUACCAAUAUAGCGAACCGAGCGUUAGCGAGGCUUCGCGAUCAAUUUGUAUUUAAAACCCAACUCUUUAAACGUAUAUUAUUAUUGUAUUUUAAAUAAUAAAAAGAUCACUUUCAACAACGGAUCUCUUGGCUCUCGCAUCGAUGAAGAACGUAGCGAAGUGCGAUAUGUAAUGUGAAUUGCAGAAUUCCGUGAAUCAUCGAAUUUUUGAACGCAAAUUGCACUCUCUGGUAUUCCAGAGAGUAUGCCUGUUUGAGGGUCAGUGAAAUAAAAAUCGACGUUGUUGUCAUCGUGAUAAUGCGUCGGAAUUGAGUCGUCUUACCUUCGGUUAAGUGACUUAAAAUUUUUACGCGAAUUCGAAACGUAUUUAACGUUAUGUACGUUUGCGAUAUUCCAAUAUAAUAUUAGGUGCAGUCAUUCCUAUGAUUCGUGCCUAUAAUUUUUUCAUUUUUUGACCUCAAAUCAGGUAAGAGUACCCGCUGAACUUAAGCAUAUCAAUAAGCGGAGGAAAAGAAAAUAACAAUGAUUCCCCUAGUAACGGCGAGUGAAGAGGGAUUAGCUCAAAUUUAAAAUCUGCUAGGUUUUACCUAUCAGAGUUGUAAUUUAAAGAGGCGUUUUCCGCAUCAUUGUUGGUCCAAGUCCUUUGGGAUAAGGUAUCAUGGAGGGUGAGAAUCCCGUCCGACUGACAUCAUGAUGUUUUACGAUACGCCUUCAAAGAGUCGAGUUGUUUGGGAUUGCAGCUCUAAAUGGGAGGUAAAUUUCUCCUAAGGCUAAAUAUUGGCGAGAGACCGAUAGCGAACAAGUACCGUGAGGGAAAGAUGAAAAGAACUUUGAAAAGAGAGUUAAAAAGUACGUGAAAUUGUUGAAAGGGAAACGAUUGAAGUCAGUCGUACCGACGAGAAAUCAGCUUUUCGAAUGUGCAUUUGUGGGCGUAUGAGAUCUUCAUUGUUUGCAAUAUGCGCAUUUCUUAGGUGUACUUUUUCGUAUGGUAGGUCAACGUCGGUUUUGGUCGCCAUAAAAUGACCGGAGGAAUGUAGCUUCGGCUUCGGUUGAAGUGUUAUAGCCUCUGGUAGAUGUGGUGAUUAGGACCGAGGAUUGCAACGAAUACCUUUUAGGCUAUCCGUCUGACCUCUGGAAGUUACUUAGGUGUCGAAAGCUUGCUUACGUCAUUUAAGUUGACGGUCAAAAGGUUAGAACGUGAUUACAUUCGUUAAGGACGUUGACGUAAUGGCUUUAAACGACCCGUCUUGAAACACGGACCAAGGAGUCUAACAUAUAUGCGAGUGUUCGGGUGUUCAAACCCUUACGCGUAAUGAAAGUAAUUCAGGUGGGAUCGCAUUCGUGUGCACCAUCGACCGAUCAGGAUAUUUUUUGAUAGAUUCGAGUAAGAGCAUAUCUGCUAGGACCCGAAAGAUGGUGAACUAUGCCUGAAUAGGGUGAAGUCAGAGGAAACUCUGAUGGAGGCUCGUAGCGGUUCUGACGUGCAAAUCGAUCGUCAAAUUUGGGUAUAGGGGCGAAAGACUAAUCGAACCAUCUAGUAGCUGGUUCCUGC
rnacentral:misc_RNA from 1 species